rnacentral:rRNA from 1 species
GAGUUUGAUCAUGGCUCAGGAUGAACGCUGGCGGCGUGCUUAACACAUGCAAGUCGAACGAAGCGAGAAGAAAGAAGUUUUUCGAAAUGGAUUUUUUCUUUGCUUAGUGGCGGACGGGUGCGUAACACGUAGGUAACCUGCCCUGUGCUUGGGAAUAACUCCGGGAAACCGGUGCUAAUGCCGAAUAAUAUCGCCUAUCGGCAUCGAGAGGCGAUCAAAGAAUGUCGGCACAGGAUGGGCCUGCGCCGGAUUAGCUGGUUGGUGAGGUAACGGCUCACCAAGGCGACGAUCCGUAGCCGACCUGAGAGGGUGAUCGGCCACACUGGAACUGAGACACGGUCCAGACUCCUACGGGAGGCAGCAGUGGGGAAUAUUGCACAAUGGGGGAAANCCCUGAUGCAGCAACGCCGCGUGAGCGAUGAAGGCUUUCGAGUCGUAAAGCUCUGUCCUAUGGGAAGAUGAUGANCGUACNUAGAG